CCAGGUGUCGCCGCCCGCCCAGCGUCUGUAGCGAGGGUUGCCGCAGGGCCCGCGGACCCCCUAGCGACGGCUGGGACCGGCGGGACGGGGAAGUCCAGGGAAACUCACUUGCUCUGGGCUGCAUGCUGGCUAAACACAAAGGAUCUGCCACUGAAGGAGGGCAGAAAACCCACCAAUCCUGGACUCUGCAUGAACACCAGGAAAAACCCAUUUGCUGCAGGAAGGGGGCAGUUAACCUGAUGAUAUCAAGACCCUCCACUGAUACAAGACAUUGAUUGACUGACACUCAAGGAGGGGCAGGAAGAUUGCCUGCCUUGGACUCCCAUGCUGACACUGGGUAAAAGCCAUCUAUUGCUACUGGAGGAGGGGGAGAAAACCAGCUUUCA
rnacentral:sRNA from 1 species